rnacentral:rRNA from 1 species
GAUGAACGCUGGCGGCGUGCCUAAUACAUGCAAGUCGAGCGAACAGACGAGGAGCUUGCUCCUCUGACGUUAGCGGCGGACGGGUGAGGAACACGUGGAUAACCUAUCUAUAAGACUGGGAUAACUUCGGGAAACCGGAGCUAAUACCGGAUAAUAUAUUGAACCGCAUGGUUCAAUAGUGAAAGACGGUUUUGCUGUCACUUAUAGAUGGAUCCGCGUCGCAUUAGCUAGUUGGUAAGGUAACGGCUUACCAAGGCAACGAUGCGUAGCCGACCUGAGAGGGUGAUCGGCCACACUGGAACUGAGACACGGUCCAGACUCCUACGGGAGGCAGCAGUAGGGAAUCUUCCGCAAUGGGCGAAAGCCUGACGGAGCAACGCCGCGUGAGUGAUGAAGGUCUUCGGAUCGUAAAACUCUGUUAUUAGGGAAGAACAAAUGUGUAAGUAACUAUGCACGUCUUGACGGUACCUAAUCUGAAAGCCACGGCUAACUACGUG